rnacentral:rRNA from 1 species
GUCUACGGCCAUACCACCCUGAACAUUCCUGAUCUAAUCUGAUCCCGGAAGCUAAGCAGGGUCGGGCCUGGUUAGUACUUGGAUGGGAUAAAACACCUGAGAGAGGUUGGAGCAUGAGCU